rnacentral:rRNA from 1 species
AGAACGAACGCUGGCGGCAGGCUUAACACAUGCAAGUCGAACGGUUGUAGCAAUACAGCAGUGGCAGACGGGUGAGUAACACGUGGGAACCUUCCUAGGGGUACGGAACAACUCAGGGAAACUUGAGCUAAUACCGUAUACGUCCGUAAGGAGAAAGAUUCAUCGCCCCUAGACGGGCCCGCGUAGGAUUAGGUAGUUGGUGAGGUAACGGCUCACCAAGCCUACGAUCCUUAGCUGAUCUGAGAGGAUGAUCAGCCACACUGGGACUGAGACACGGCCCAGACUCCUACGGGAGGCAGCAGUGGGGAAUCUUGGACAAUGGGCGCAAGCCUGAUCCAGCCAUGCCGCGUGAGUGAAGAAGGCCUUCGGGUUGUAAAGCUCUUUUACCAGGGACGAUAAUGACGGUACCUGGAGAAUAAGCCCCGGCAAACUUCGUGCCAGCGAGCCGC